rnacentral:rRNA from 1 species
GACGAACCGAGCGAACGUUGUUCGGAAUCGCUGGGCUUAAAGGGCGCGUAGGCGGGCGGCCGCGUCCGGGGUGAAAUCCCACGGCUCAACCGUGGAACGGCCUCGGAUACGGGCGGCCUGGAGGCGGGUAGGGGCAGGCGGAACUGUGGGUGGAGCGGUGAAAUGCGUUGAGAUCCACAGGAACUCCGGUGGCGAAGGCGGCCUGCUGGACCCGAACUGACGCUGAGGCACGAAGGCCAGGGGAGCAAACGGG